rnacentral:rRNA from 1 species
AUUGAACGCUGGCGGCAUGCCUUACACAUGCAAGUCGAGCGGCAGCACGGGAGCAAUCCUGGUGGCGAGUGGCGAACGGGUGAGUAAUACAUCGGAACGUGCCCAAUCGUGGGGGAUAACGCAGCGAAAGCUGUGCUAAUACCGCAUACGAUCUACGGAUGAAAGCAGGGGAUCGCAAGACCUUGCGCGAAUGGAGCGGCCGAUGGCAGAUUAGGUAGUUGGUGAGGUAAAGGCUCACCAAGCCGUCGAUCUGUAGCUGGUCUGAGAGGACGACCAGCCACACUGGGACUGAGACACGGCCCAGACUCCUACGGGAGGCAGCAGUGGGGAAUUUUGGACAAUGGGCGAAAGCCUGAUCCAGCCAUGCCGCGUGCAGGAUGAAGGCCUUCGGGUUGUAAACUGCUUUUGUACGGAACGAAACGGCCUUUUCUAAUAAAGAGGGCUAAUGACGGUACCGUAAGAAUAAGCACCGGCUAACUACGUGCCAGCAGCCGCGGUAAUACGUAGGGUGCAAGCGUUAAUCGGAAUUACUGGGCGUAAAGCGUGCGCAGGCGGUUAUGUAAGACAGUUGUGAAAUCCCCGGGCUCAACCUGGGAACUGCAUCUGUGACUGCAUAGCUAGAGUACGGUAGAGGGGGAUGGAAUUCCGCGUGUAGCAGUGAAAUGCGUAGAUAUGCGGAGGAACACCGAUGGCGAAGGCAAUCCCCUGGACCCGUACUGACGCUCAUGCACGAAAGCGUGGGGAGCAAACAGG